GCAAGUCGAGCGCACCUUCGGGUGAGCGGCGGACGGGUUAGUAACGCGUGGGAACAUACCCUUCUCUAAGGAAUAGCCACUGGAAACGGUGAGUAAUACCUUAUACGCCCUAUGGGGGAAAGAUUUAUCGCCGAGAGAUUGGCCCGCGUUAGAUUAGAUAGUUGGUGGGGUAAUGGCCUACCAAGUCUACGAUCUAUAGCUGGUUUUAGAGGAUGAUC
rnacentral:rRNA from 1 species